GCUGCCAAAUCGGGACAGACCCGACCUUCCCCUCCUAUUUUCUUCUUCUUUCGCCGUUUCUGGUUUUCCGGCGAUUUCGUCGCCGUCCGGCCACCCCAGGUCGAACCGCUUGGCAUGGCGUGAUCCUCUCCUCCUUCUCUACUUAGUCAUCUCGUUUUGAUCGGUGGAGGAAGAUUUGAAGGUGUUUGAGACUGUGAACAGUACCGUGAACAGUAACUGUCGAAUUCUUGGGUUCUUGUUUGAUUUUUCCGGACAUUUCUACUUGAAUUUGGUUGUUGUUGCAGGACGUACUGUGCCCUCGAGCGAGGAGGAUACGGGCAGGCAGCAGGAUUAGCUGCGAGACUCACCUGUGAGUGGACUUUUAUUUUAUUUAAAUAAUGCAUGCAGCAUGGUAUUUAAUUUAUAAUGGAAUGUUAUUUGAGUAAAUGUGGUUUUCAUGGAAAGAAAAGAAUUUAAGGAAAGGAGUUGGGAAGGAGGCUAUUCUCGGCGCAUGCGUACAUUACCUAGUCGGCAGUCCCCUCUAGGUAAUAGUCUGGUCGGCAGUCCCCUCCAGACUAUAUCCCGGUCGGCAGUCCCCUCCGGUGAGUCAUCUGGUCGGCAGUCCCCUCCAGAUGAGGUAGUUAGUCGGCAGUCCCCUCUAACUACCUGUGGUUAGUCGGCAGUCCCCUCUAACCACCGCCUCCUAAAUCCGGUCGGCAGUCCCCUCCGAUGCGUCAUCUGGGCGGCAGUCCCCUCCAGUUGGCAUGAGAUGACUAGACAGCAGUCCUCUCUAGUUAUCGAACGAGUUUUCUUGGAAAUGACAUUUUAAAAAGGAAUGGUUGGAAAUGUUUUGCAAAUCUCGCUGCAUGCCGGAUUUUGUUAACAAGAAAAUGGGAAAGCAUUCAAGCAUUGGUUUCAUAGUUUAUUUUAGUUUCGUCCACUCACUCUUAACGGUUUUUAAAUGUUUUCCCCUGGGCCCUUCGGUUUCAAUUGCCCAGAUUUCAGAUUGCCGAGAUUGCGUCCAGGAACUAGAGGCUUGGAAAUCAGCGCUUCCGUUUUGUUCGUAGGUUAUUACUUAACCUACCUUGUAUGAUAUCGGCUUAGUUAUGUAGAAUUGCUCUGAUAACCCCUUUCAAAUUUGGAGAAUGUUAAUGCUUGAGAAUAUGUUAUCUUAUGGAGGUUAACGUGGAAUUCGUACUUCCGGAAUGUAAUAUAUACGCUUGGAAUGUAAAUGUUAGAAUGUAUCUUCGUGUGUGAGCUUAGUUUUAAGCAUGUCCAGGUUUUGCAAAUUUUUGGGUAGCUCAUUUUAGGGGAGGUUCUGCCGAUUUUUCGUCAGAAUUUCCUUUAAAAUGGGUCCCGCAGGCUCGUAUCCGGGUUUCGGGGUGAAACUU